rnacentral:rRNA from 1 species
GACGAACGCUGGCGGCGUGCUUAACACAUGCAAGUCGAACGAAGAGCGAUGGAAGCUUGCUUCUAUCAAUCUUAGUGGCGAACGGGUGAGUAACGCGUAAUCAACCUGCCCUUCAGAGGGGGACAACAGUUGGAAACGAUUGCUAAUACCGCAUACGAUCUAAUCUCGGCAUCGAGGAGAGAUGAAAGGUGGCCGCUACAUGUAAGCUAUAACUGGAGGAGGGGAGUGGGCUGGAUUAGGUAGUUCGAGGGGGAACGGCCCACCAAGGCGAUGAUCAGUAGACGGGCUGAGAGGAUGGACGGCCACAAUGGGACGGGGGCACGGCCCAGAAUCCUACGGGAGGGAGCAGUGGGGAAUCUUCCGCAAAGGAAGAAAGGCUGACGGCGCAACGCCGCGUGAGGGAUGACGGCCUUCGGGUUGUAAAGCUCUGUUAAUCGGGACGGAAGGCCUUCUUGCGAAUAGUGCGAAGGAUUGACGGUACCGGAAUAGAAAGCCACGGCUAACUACGUG